rnacentral:SRP_RNA from 1 species
ACCAGGUGCGGUGGUGUGUGCCUGUAGUCCCAGCUACUCGGGAGGCUGAGGUAGGAGGAUCACUUGAGCCCAGGAGUUCUGGGCUGUAGUGCACUAUGCUGAUCGGUUGCUGCACUAAGUUCGGCAUCAAUAUGGUGACCUACCGGUUGCCUAAGGAGGGGUGAGCUGGCCCAGGUCAGAAACCGAGCAGGUCAAAACAACUUCCAUGCUUAUCAGUAGUGGUAUUGUGCCUGUGAAUAGCCACUGCACUCCAGCCUGGGCAACAUAGUGAGACCCCAUCUCA